GGCCGGUAACUUAAAAAUUUUGUAGCCAAAUUGGCUGGUGAGUGAAAAAGAUAAUUUCAAUCCCUGGUUGAGAUGUAAACUU